CCUACGGGUGGCAGCAGUGGGGAAUAUUGGACAAUGGGGGCAACCCUGAUCCAGCCAUGCCGCGUGUGUGAAGAAGGCCCUCGGGUUGUAAAGCACUUUCAGUGAGGAAGAACGCCUGGUGGUUAAUACCCAUCAGGAAAGACAUCACUCACAGAAGAAGCACCGGCUAACUCCGUGCCAGCAGCCGCGGUAAUACGGAGGGUGCGAGCGUUAAUCGGAAUUACUGGGCGUAAAGCGCGCGUAGGUGGCUUGAUAAGCCGGGUGUGAAAGCCCCGGGCUCAACCUGGGAACGGCAUCCGGAACUGUCAAGCUAGAGUGCAGGAGAGGAAGGUAGAAUUCACGGUGUAGCGGUGAAAUGCGUAGAGAUCGGGAGGAAUACCAGUGGCGAAGGCGGCCUUCGGGACUGACACUGACACUGAGGUGCGAAAGCGUGGGUAGCAAACAGGAUUAGAUACCCCAGUAGUC
rnacentral:rRNA from 1 species